rnacentral:tRNA from 20 species
CGCGGGGUACCGGGCUUGGUAGCCCGGGGCGGACUUCAGAUCCGUCGAGGGCGAGAGCCCUCGGGGUUCGAUUCCCCCCCUGCGC